rnacentral:lncRNA from 1 species
UAAGAUUUGAUUUAUAUUUAUUCGGACACAAAAUUUUGAUUAAUCAUUCUAAGCAAAUAAUGAUAGUUGAUUGCAGUGGCUUCUUAUUGAUUUUGGUAUUAUAAUAUUUGGGCUAUUCAUGAGACUUGGAAAACAUUUGAUGAGGAGAAAAGUUUGUAGUGGUGGAGAGAUGUUGGCAAAAUAUGUGGUGAUGUCAUAAGAAAAAUUGGUUUCACACUAAUAUAAGAUGGAAUAGAAGGACAUAAAACAAAAUCAGAUUUCAUAUAUGCAUUAGCUAGGAAAGUUUUUUCUUUUAAAGAUAGUAAAAACUUAUAAAACAAAAUUAAAGAUAGUAAGCAAACUUAUAAAA